rnacentral:rRNA from 1 species
UGCUUUAUGAUAAAAAAUAUAAAGUAAGUCCUGCCCAGUGACAAAUGGUUCAACGGCCGCGGUAUCCUAACCGUGCAAAGGUAGCAUAAUAACUUGCCUAUUAAUUGUAGGCUAGAAUGAACGGGCUAACGAAAUAAAGACUGUCUCAGUUAGUAAACUAAAAAUUAUUAUCUAUACGAAGAAAGAUAGAUUCCCUCGAAGGACAAGAAGACCCUAUAGAGCUUUAUUUAACUAUAGAAGUAUACUAUAUAACAAAUUCGGUUGGGGCGACCCCGGGCAUCAUUAAACACCCGAAAACUAAGAGAUAUAUAAAUCAUAAUAAUGACCCUAUACAAGAUCACAAGAACAAGCUACCUUAGGGAUAACAGGCUAAUCCUAUUUAAGAGUCCAUAUCGACAAUAGGGUUUGGCACCUCGAUGUUGGCUUAUGGUAUCAAUAUAGCGCAAAAGUUAUAUUAUGAUGGUUUGUUCAACCAAUAAUACCAU